GGGAAUGUGGCUUAGUGGUAGAGUGCUUGCUUAGCAUGCAUGAAACCCUGGGUUCGAUUUUCAGUACCA
rnacentral:tRNA from 1 species